AACCCAAAUUAAUAGAUUAACGGCGUAAAGCGUGUUUAAGAGAGACUAUAAAAUAAAGCCAAACUUUAGCUAAUCUGUAAAAAGUCUUAGCUAAUGUAAGAACCAUAACGAAAGUAGCUUUAACAUGCUGAACACACGAUAGCUAAGACCCAAACUGGGAUUAGAUACCCCACUAUGCUUAGCCAUAAACCUAAAAAAUCUAUAAAACAAACAAGAUUGUUCGCCAGAGUACUACUAGCUAAAGCCUGAAACUCAAAGGACUUGGCGGUGCUUUAUAUCCCUCUAGAGGAGCCUGUUCUGUAAUCGAUAAACCCCGAUAAACCUCACCAACACUUGCCAACU
rnacentral:rRNA from 1 species